CUGUUCUUCAGAGCUCCAGGAUGGCCAUGAAAUCGCGCCAAGUCAGGUCUGGUUCUCCCUCAAGGAUUGGAGAUUAUCACAGAAGAGGCCAGCCUCGGGCCCAGCUCAGCCAGAAGCUUCCAUACGAAAAGAGAUGGAAACUGUACCUGUGCCCAAGACAAAAAUCUCCCAUGAAAUUUAAGAGAAUAAGAAGCCUAUCACUAGUUCCCAGACAAGUUUGAUUCCAACUCAGAUCACUCUACUACUAUACAAAACCCUCAGGGAUGGAUGCUGGAAGAAGACUUGGGAUGCCUGGGUCAGAGAAAAGGGACUUGACUUCUAGCACAGCCAGGAGCACGAUCAUCUACAGGUCUGCAUGCGCUCACGCUCACGGGAGGGCGACACAGAGGGCCUAGGUGGAUGGCUGCACACAAGGAGAGCUGCAUUCCAGGAGAGGAAUAUUGAGUUUGCGGCAUGGUGUUUUAUAGCAAAAAGCAAGCAAACAUUCUCUUUCCUAUAAGCAGACCUUACCUAAUCCCUCACAAUUUCCUACUGGGAGAAAAGCAGUUUCCCUUCAAGUGUAAUUGACCUUCUUCUUUUGCCAUUUUUGAAAAACCUUUUAAAAACUUAAAAAAAAAAAAAAUCAAGCUAAAAAGUUGCAAAAACAAAAGUAGCACAGGAAGCACUGAACUCUUUGCCCACAACAUCCUAGCUCCCAUUCACUCUGCAUUUAUGCUCUCUUUCUAUGUAAUUUUUUUCCUGAACCAUUUGGGGGUUUAGGGUAAGUUACAUAUAUCAUGGUCCUUUACCCUUAAGGUAUUUCCUACAGACUAAGAGAAUUCUCUUACAUAACAGCAGUGUAGUUACCACCUUCAUAAUUUUAGAUUGUUAUAAUAUCUUGUCUAGUCUGCCCAUAUUUUAAUUUGUUAGUUGACCUAUUAAUUUCUUUCAGAGCAUUUUCCCUCGUGACCUAGGAACAGGUACACUGAAUUUACUUGUCCUGUCUUUUCAGUAUUCUUUAACUUGGAGUAUUUCCGACAGUCUUUCCUUGUCCUUUAUGACAUUAACAUUUCAACAGUCUCCAUCCCCCAUUUUUAAAUAAACAAUUUUCUACAUAAAAAACAUCAUGCUAUGAAUACAAACACUUAUUUCUUCCUUUCUAACCCAUAUGACCUUUCUUCUUUUUGCUUUCCUGCCAGGAUCUUUAGUAUAAUAAUGAAUUUCAUUGACAUUUGCUUUUGUCUUUAUUAUUUCUUCCUUCUGUUUGACUUGGGUUUAAUUUGCUCUUCUUUUACUACCUUAAGUUUAAAAUGUUAGAUUACUGACUUGAAAAGAUCUUUUCUUUUCUACUAUAAGCGUUUAAUACUAUGAAUUUAUCUUGAAUCCUUGCCUUUUUUUUUCUACUAUAAGCAUUUAGUGCUAUUGAUUUUUCUGUAACUCCUAUUUUUUCUCUUCUAUAAGCACAUAAUGUUAAAGAGUUCCAGUUCCUGCUUUACCUGAAACCUGUAUAUUUUGAUUUUUUAAAAAUCUUAUUCAAUUUAAAAUGUUUUCUAAUUUCCUUUGUGACUUCCUCUUUGACCCAUGAAGUAUUUAAAAGUAUAUUGUUUCACUUCUAAAUAUUUGGGAAUUUGUUAGAUAUUUCUCAUUGCUGAUUUCUAAUUUAAUUUCAUUAAUCUAGAAAACAUUCUUUGUCUGAUUUCCACUUUUAAGAAAAUUGUUAAUUUCCUGAUCCAGGAUAUGGUGUAGCCUGGUGCACAUUCCUGUGUAUUUGAAAAGAACGUGUAUUAAGCUGUUUGGGGAUGGAAUAUUCAUAAAUGUUAAGAGGGUCAAGUUGUUUAGUAACAUUGUGAAGGUCUUCUAUGUUAAGGUCUUACUAAUUUUCUGGGUCUACUUGUUCUACUGAUUACUGAGGAGACUGCCAAAAUAUCCAAAUAUUUGUGCAUUUGUCUAUUUCUUCCUUCAGUUUUCCCAGUGUUUGCCUCAUAUAUUUAGAGGUUCUAUUUUCAGCUACAAAUACAUACUUUAUAUCUUAUUGGUGAAUUGAUCUCUUUAUCUUUAGAAUGUCCUUUAUCACUGUAAAAUAUUCCUGGUUCUAAAGUCUACAUCACCUAAUUUCAAUAUUAUUCCAGCUUUCUUCUGAUUGCUCUUUUCAUUGUAUAUCUUUUCCCAUUAUUUUAAUUUAAAUCUUUCCAAGUCUUUACAUUUAAAGUGACUUUCUUGUAGAUACAUAUAAUUGUGUUCUUGCUUUUUUACCAAUUAUAAUCCUUCUUUCAAUUGAUGGGUUUACAUUAAGACCAUUUAUAUUUUAUUAAUUUCAUGUAAUCAUUGAUAUGGUUGACUUAAAACCUAUCAUCUUGUCAGCUCUCUACUUUCACCAUCUGUUCUUUGUUGUUCUUUCUUUGCCUUUUUUGGGGUUAUUUCUAUGAUUCCAUUUUAUAUGUACUAUUGUCUUAUUGCUUAGAUUUCUUUUUCGGUAAUUGUCCUUGGGUUUAAAAUGUUUCUUUUGUCACAGUGCACCUUCAAAUAAUAUUACACCAUAUGUCAUCUAAAAGCCUUAUGGCAGUAUUCUGAGUUCUUUCUCCCAUCCUUUGUGCUAAUGCCAUAUAUUUUAAUGUAUGCUAUAAAUGUAUAAUACACGGCUACUACUUUAUAUUUAGACAGUUAAUUAUCUUCUAAAGCAAUUUUUUAAAAGAACAAAAUUUAUUUUACAUUCACCUUCCCUUGUUCCAUUUCCAGCCCUCCCCAAGUUUUUGUGUAGCUCCAAAUUGUAAUACAGGUAAGCUGCUAAUGAAUCGUUUUGGGUUGUUUCAAUGUGUCCUUUAGUUUUUGUUUUUGUUUUUUAAGAUUUUAUUUAUUUAUUUGACAGAGAGAGAUCACAAGUAGGCAGAGAGGCAGGCAGAGAGAGAGGAAGGGAAGCAGGCUCCCUGCUGAGCAGAGAGCCCAAUGGGGGACUCGAUCCCAGGACCCUGAGAUCAUGACCUGAGCCGAAGGCAGCGGCUUAACCCACUGAGCCACCCAGGUGCCCUGUCCCUUAGUUUUGAAAGAUAUUUUUGUUUUAAUUCUUUCAACACUUUAAAAAUAUCAUUCCAUGGUGUUCUGGCUUGCAUAAUUUCUCAUGAGAAGCCUGCUGUAAUUCUUAUCUUUGUUCCUCUGUAUCUAACCUAUCUUUUUCUUCUGGCUGCCUUGAACAUUUUCUACUUAUCUUUCGUUUACAGUAGUUUGAGUAUUAUGUACCUCAGUGUAUAUGUGUGUUUGGUUUUCGGAGGAUAGGGGUAUUAUCCUACCUAGUGCUCUUUGAGAUUCUUGAAGCUGUGAUCUGAGGUCUUUAAUUAUCUUUGAAAAGCAGCCAUUAGAUCUUGAAAUAUUUUUUCUGUCCCAUGUCCCCAUCUCACCCUCGCCUCUUCUUUCCUUCUAGGAUUCUCUUUUCAUGUAUUAGAUCAUUUGAAAUGUCCUGCAACUCUUGGAUGCCCUGGGUACCCCUACCACCAGCAGUAUAUUUUGCUUUUGCAGUCUAGUAUGAGUAUGAUGUGUCUUCACAUUUACUGAUUCUCCCCUCAAUAUUGUGAAGUCUUCUGGUUGGUAGACCCAUGAAAGGAAUUCUUCAUCUCUGAUACCAUAUUUUUCAUUACUAACAUUUCCAGUUGAUUCUUAUAGUUUCCAAUUCUCUGCUGAUAUUCCCUCUUUGUUAGUACAUGUCCACUUUGUUCUCAUGAGUCUUUAACAUAUUAUUUAUAGUUAUUUCAAACUAUAUCUGACAAGUCCAAUAUCUGGAUCAUAUCCGACUCUGAUUCUGUUGACUGGUUUGUCUAAUAACAAUGUAUUGUUGUUUUUCUUGUUUCUUCUUUGUCUUGUAAUUUUUGGUUAAAAGUUAUACAUCCUGUGUAAGAGCAGACUGAGGUAAAUACUUUUUAUGCCUGAGAAUGGGCAUACCUCUUCUGCUACACCUUUAGUGUGUGGAAUUGAAUCAGUCUAGUCAGGAGUUGAGCUGGUUUGUGUUUUAUUGUGCUACGGUUAACCUCAGCAACCUACCAGCUUAAAAUUCAUCUAGCAUUACCUUAUGCUUAGGGUAGCAGCUAGACUGUUGGAUGCUUUCUUUUUCAGUGUUCUUGUUCCACCCACCGCUUUAGGCUUUUUCUUAGAGCAUGGGCUCGGAGGUCUCUCUCCUUGUUCUUGACUCACUCACACACUUUUGACACUUGUUUAUUGGUGCUUACUGGUCUUUAAUGGUGGCAAGGCAGAAAUAUUCUUUAUUAUUCUGGUUUAGCCAUUGCUUCUACCAUUAUAGCUAGUCUGUCUAUCCCUGGUAUCAAGAACCAGUCUUUCCUCCUUCGACUAUUUCUCUCGUUUUCUGCCCCUUCCCCAAAAAAGUUGUUUUAUCUAUUCCCUUACCCAAAGAAGGUAUUUUGUCCUAGCAUCUUUAGGUUUUGUUCUGUAAGGGAGAAGAACCAAGGCUUGAAGCCUUAGCCGAAGUAGAAACUGCUCCCUUCCUCGGGUUUGUACCUUAAGUCUCUCUCUAGUCUUGUCCUUAGUCUAUCUUAUAAGUACUAGUGAGGUUUGUGGAGUGAAUGAAAGCUUCCCUUUUGGGGCCCCUUACAGCAAUUUUAUAAUUUAUAUACUAGUCUAUACUUGGCCUUUAGCAAUUUGUUAAAAUUUUUUUAGCAUUCUGUUUCUUUUUUUCUUUUUACAAAAAGGGAACAUAUGCUUCAUGUGGCUUUUUUCACUAUCUAUAUAUUUUGGGCAUCUAUCCACCCCAAUAAGUAUGUAUCUGUUAUCAUUUUUCAAGGCGAGAUAUUAUUUUUUAAAUAUGGUUAGAUAGAUGAACCAUAAAUAUAUAUAUAUAUAUAUAUUAUUGUAUAUUUAGGUUGUUUGUAGUUUUCUACAUUUACAAACCACUAUAAAUAUGUUCACACAAGUAUCUUUAAUAUGUUCACCAAUGAAUAAUAGUAAUAGCUAACAUUGUGUGACUAUCGUUAUAUACCAGAUGUUCUAAACUAUAGAUGAUAUAGACCCUCACAAUAACCCUAUAAGGUAAAAAUUAUGAUCAUUUCUAUUUAAAAAUGGAGAUACAAUUGUUGUCUAAGCUCUAUCAGAUUAUCCAUAGGUGAUUUUAGCCUUUUUUACUCAUCACAUCUUCCAAUGUAAACUUAUAUAAGAGAAAAGAAUGAAAAAAGUACACAGUGUGGAAUGAGUUCCACACUUUAAGUUUGUAUGAAUGUGUGUCUGUAUCUGGCUAUGUUUUUAUGUUGUAGAAAAUAAAAAAUAGGAUGGUACAAUACUGUAUUAUGACUGUUUUACUUUUAACCACCUUGAAAAGGUCUUGGGCAGGAAAGCUAUUUCGUAGUCCAAGUGCCGCUUACUAUUAUUUUUAAUAAAUAAGUGAACAUAUUAAGAUGUUAAAUGUUAGAAGCAUUAAUUCUAAAUGUUUAGUCUAGUCAUAUUUAUUUCUACCUAAUGCUAAAUGAAUACAAUAUAUACAUAUUUUCUCUAAUAACAUGAUUUCUAAAGAUAAUCUAAUUCAUAAUUUAGACAUAACAGUGUACAUCAUAUAUAUUUUCAAUUCUAAUAAAAAUUUAUAUGAUAAUUCAGGAAAAGGUUGUCACGUAAUAUCAUUUCAAGAGAUGAAAUAACUUUGAUAUGAAGUAUGCAAUUACGGAUUCUUAAAACUCCUAGGCUUUCUUCCUAGAAUUACAAAGAAUUACACAAACUUUUA